GUGAGGACCAAAUGUCCCCACAAGGAUAAAACCUAAAAUUUCUGACUUUGUGAGGACCAUUGGCCAUUUAUUUCUAAUAAAUUAUUAAAAUACUAAAUGAUGUUUAUCUUAAAAUGUAAAAAUGCAAAAGGGUUUCUGUAAGGGGUAGGUUUAGGGUGAGGGGAUAGAAAAUAUUGUUAGGUCAGUAUAAAAACAAUAGAAGUCUAUGAAAAUCCUCACAAGUAUAGUAAAACAAAUGUGUGUGUGUGUGUGUGUGUGUGUGUUACCGUAUUGUUCCUACACUGAAAUCUUACUAUUUACACUCAGUUCAUGUUUCCUCUGUUUCUGUAGCUGGUGUGAUUCUGGAGAGUCCUGUUCAUCCUGUGACUGAAGGAGAUAAUCUGACUCUACGCUGUUUAUAUCAGUUUACAACUCCACCAAACCUUAGAGCUGAUUUCUAUAAAGAUGGAUCACUCAUCCAGAAUCAAACUACGGAGAUGAUCAUCUCUAAUGUCUCAAAGUCACAUGAGGGUUUCUACUACUGCAAACAUUCAGAGAGAGGAGAGUCACCCAAGAGCUGGAUCUCAGUCAGAGGUGAGAGUCAAUAGAAAUUCGUCUCAUUCAGAAUCUCAGAUCUCUGUCCUCCACACACUCAGUUCUGUACUGGCAGUUUGUCCAUAUCUGCUAGUGACAGUCGUGCUGAUUUUCAAAUGCUGCAGAAUGAGAGAUGAAAUGUCUGUCUGAUUUAUUCGAAAUCUUGCAUAUCAAAUACACAUAUUCCAUCAUGGAUAGACAUACUUUUUGUUGUCUGUCUGUUUUUAUUCAAAUUUGCUUAGAAAUCGGUAUAUUUAAAAGAUCAUAGUACUUCAUAAAGGCUAUAAACACAAAGAGAAACAUAAAUGGUCACAAGACUGUUUCUGUGUAUUUAACAGCUAUAUCUGUUGAAAAGGACAAACUCCAGUCUUAUGUUAAUCUGUUGUGACUGUGAGAGAUUCCAGGAUGAUUUUUUUCUUCAAUAUCCUAUUCACAAGCUCAUAAGCUUAUCUUUAAUUACUGUUAUAUAUCAGCAUAUUUCAGUAGCUUAUCAUUAUUGAUUUAUAAUACUGUUUAAUAUUUAAGUUUAAUCAUUUUAUUUUCUUCUGCUUUAAUGUUGUAAGGCUGUAAUGUUUGCAUACUAGACAUUAUAACCACAGGAACAUACACUGUAAUUUUCAAACAUGUAUAUUCCUUAUUUUAGUGUAAGUCUUCUGACUUGUAACACUGAAAUGCUCUGUUACUUUGCAUUUAUUUAUUUAUUUAUUUUUUUUAAAUAAA
ensembl:lncRNA